GUAAAACCCGACCCAAAAACAAUGAAAAGUAACAUUUAAAAUGGGCUCUUGCUUUCCUGAUUAUUAGCCCGAAAACAUAGCUAUUCAAAGCAUAGAGCAUCGUCACUCCAUCAUCUGCACCGGAAGCACUAUUCGGACCGUCAGCUCUUUUGCGCAUUUUAUGUAUUUAGGCUCUAGUGGCCUUGUGUUGACAGGAAAAUGGAAUAUGAGUGAGAGGAAGACAUGCGGCAAAGGUCAAUGGGCCACAACUUGAACCUGUGGUCCCCGUAGUACCUACAUGGGUCGCAUGUAGGUACCCAUGUAGCACCGCGGCGCUCGCUCAUUUGCGCAUGCGCUAAAACUACUACUUUCACAGUAAAACUUUCUGAAAGGAUCUAUUUCCCUAGACAAUGUUAUUUUCCCAUUAACAAAUAAUUGUCAUAAUUAUUAAGUUAUAAUGCAGUAGAAAUUUGUGUAUUGGACUCACUGGACUGCAACGUAUUUGUCAAUGUCUUCUGGUAGAAGACCAUUAUUUUUGUAAUUGUUUAUUCGAUUCGACUGUAAAAGACUAUAUCCCAUAGUUUUAUGUAAAAUCCAAAAGUAUUACUCCAUCUUUCCUCAUGUUUGAUUGUUGUAUGCAGGUACAUAUGCUUGAUUUUGUUUUUCACAUCAAAUAGCAGAGCAGUCCAACAAAAUACAAUUAAACCCUUUUUGUCUGUGUUUUAUUAUUGUCUUUAAAAUAUUACUCGUUUUACGAUUACAGUUAGAUGCAAAAA